GUUACUCAUUGCCAUGUGGGUUGUGUAUCACUGGUGCCUUCUCCAUAGCUCGAUGUAGAGUUGCCAUCAGACUACAGAUACAGGAUUUCCUCAAGUUGCGUUUCAUGGCCUGCGACAUGCAGCAUUCCAUGCCUUUCUGCACCGUCGGCGUUCAUGCCAUCGUCGGCGGCCGGGGCGGCGGAGCAGGCACUGUCAGGCAGCAAGUUGCAUCCGACCCCCAGCACGUGAUGUGGUUCUCAACGACUUUAUAUGCGGCUGAUCGGCGAGGCCUUCGGAUGAGCUGAAGUUCAGGGCAUGACGACGACAUAUGGGGAGGCCUCCGGCCAGUGGGGCCGAACGCGAUGGUGCUGACAGUCAUGGUGACGGCCAGCGCAGGGCACACACGACUCUGAGGCGGCGAGCACGAGGCAGGUGGCUUGCAGGUCUACCAUGCGCGGUGGGCGUUGGCAGGGCUCAGUGUGCUUGCACGCGGAGGCCGUGAGAGCACGCCUCAGCAAGCUGAGGAACCGGUUGCAGGCGGAUGCGUAGAUGUGUAGGAUAGACACGACCUGUUGCGACGCAAGGAACUCGCCGAGCUCCGGCAAGAUCAUGCCGGAGAGCAACACCAUGUGGAUGGCCAGCAUGUCCAGGUUCUCGAGUCUGUCCGAGCUCGCCGCGACGGGGCAGAGAUGCUGGUCUCUGCGAGGCCGGGCAUGCUGAGGUUGGAGCAGUCGAGCAGAUGCCGAUCUCUAGCUCGGAUUCGGCCACUCCGAUGGAGGAUGCCAUGCACUCGACCAUCACGUCGCACAUGCAGAAGGUGGGGCUGUCCAACGGAGAUGUUGUCGCGCGUCCAGAGCGUGCACGGGUGCAACUAGAACUUCAAGGUCGUCAUGACGCUGCUGACGAGCAUCAAGGAAAUCCACAUCGGCACCGCGGGCGCGCGCUCCAUACCAUGGAGCAGAUUUUUGGCGCAGCCGGCGCCAGCGUUCUCCUGAUAGUUUAUGGACAGCCCCUUUUUUCUGUCUUUCUUUUACUUUUGAGCAUUUACUUUGCUAUAUAGGGUUUCUGUUGUAAACUAGAUACGUGAUCUUUUACAUGUAUGCAUAGACCGAAUCAUGCACUUGUGGUGUUGGUUGUGUUUUUGUCUGCGCAGACAAAAACACGCAGCAAAGUGCAAGAGGUCUCUGGCUGCCAGUUUGGGGAGGAGCGGCAGCUCCUUUUCAUGAAAAGCUCAAGGGCUAGCUCAGGCAUGGAGCUGGCCACUAGAAUCCACCAGCAGAACUUCGGCCUGGAGGUCACCGGUUAGCUGACCGCAACCACCGUCACCAAGAUGAUGGUCCCAUGUUGCAGCGUCGAGGGUAUCAUCAACGACACUUCCGUCAUGGAGAAGAUGGCCAAAGACGGCGGUCCACUGAACGAACCUCUACUCCUACUUCCCGGGGUCGCCGUGUUGGCCGCUCUAAGAAGAGACUCAAGUACGCCAUCAUUCCCCUAAAAAAAGUACGCCAUCAUCGUUGUUGACACAUUCCGCACGUACGCGCUCAUGUCUAACCUCCUAUCCAUACUCACUACUACUCCCUCCGUUCCUAAAUAUAAGUCUUUUUAGACAUUUUAAGUGGAAUACAACAUACGAAUGUAUAUGGACAUAUUUUAGAGUGUAGAUUCACUCAUUUUGCUACGUAUGUAGUCACUUGGUGAAAUCUUCAGAAAGACUUAUAUUUUGGAACAGAGGGAAUACAAUGGUAGCUAAAUUGAGUCAAUUUGGUUAGACUGUUAGCCUGGCUUCCUCCAACAUAAUAUUGCAUGUGUGCGCGUAGCGAACUGUUUUUCUGGUCAGUUUUGGGUAUCUGGGUAGACUAUUUGACUACGUGCGUGAGAAUAGGAACGGAUGUGUCUAUGAUGGGUGACUAGCAAGUUAUUUGCUAAGAUUAGUGCUCCGGCUGAUUAUGUUAAGCGGUUCUAUUUUUUUAUUCAUGUGUGUUGGAUGUGGGGAUUUGACAUGGUGUUCGACAUGUUUCUUCGUAGCCGUUUCUUCUUAGUAAAAGGAAUGUUUUACCGUGGACAUGUUGUGUUUUGGUACCUUUUUUUUUGAACUGGUGUUUUGCUACUUUGGUGUUGUUAUCGACGGUGGUCUGCGGUGUCAUUUGGUUGUUAUCUGUUUUAAGUCGACCACCGUUUUCAUAGCUGCCUCUGGCGACUGCUGUUGUUUUAGGUGGUUCUGAUUUGCUGACUGCUUUGCCAUUUAAGGCACGAGCAAAGAUAAAAAAAGAAGGCUAAGCCAGUGCCACAAGAAAAGUAGUAAUAAUACAUUUCUUCUCUCAUUUUUUCUAGGUGGUCAUGUGGUGAUACUUUCCAUCCUUUAUGUCCCAACUAACAAAAAAGAAUUUACGUUCCUGUAUAGCACUGGCUUUAACAGCACAGCUACAAGAUUACCGAUAUGGCCACUGGAACAGACAACACAACAUUGUUCAAGCAUGGAUAAUCAUUGAUACUAUUACUAGGAAAGCAACCAGGCAUCCGUGAACUCAACAAAUCGAUGUUCACCGGCAGUGCAAACAACAAUACUGGAUGAAUCCGAGAAAAGUGUCGCUCAAGCCUCACUUGGUCACCUCUAUAACAACCACGUCAUAGACAUUAAUGAUUAUAGCAUUCAAGCUUCAGAACUGUUCCCUACAUAUAUAUGGAAAUUCGGUGCAAGCAGAAUUUGCCAUCAGAAAAGAUAGUCUCAAGUUUUUUAUUGUUUUAGGAUGACAUUUCAACGAGGGUCUCUAUUCAUAUAUUUAUGUACUAUUCGCCUAAGAUUUGAUUGAGCAUGCACCUCUUGGCUCUCAAAUUAAGGCCUGCCUUUUCUUGUUCUCUUCAAAAUCGGUGGAAGAACAGAAGAGCUCGGGAUGUGCUUUCUUUGGAGAACAAA